AUGUUGACUCAGUGCAAGGAACUUGGGAGGUUAUACAAACAAGAACCUAGUUUGACAAUCCAUUAUAACUUGGCUAAUACCCCUCUGUUGCCAAUAACCAAGUCUCUGCUAACACUUUCAUUCCUUUCUUUCUUAUUUUUUGCUGAGUACAUUGCGCUCUGCUCAGCUGAAUCACCAGAACUUCUUUUCUUUUCUUUCAACAGGGCCCUUUCUUUUACAGCCUCUUAUGGGAAAAAUACUUACUUCUCAAAUGCAGCACUUGAAGGGGUUUGCUUCUUGCAGGGAGGGGGGCACAGCAUCAGCCUGCUGGCUCACCUUCUCCAGAACCUGAAUCCAGGUUCUCCUGGGGGAAGCCUUGGGAUCCCAUCCAGACCCGUGGCAGCACAGCAAAACAGUCCAGCCAUUGAUUCACAAGCCGCAUGGCCUCGUAUGGAGAACACACAGUUCCACGCUGGCACCUGCCUGUCAGUCUAGGUGGCUCUGGAGAGGCUUUGGCACGGCUGCCCCACGCAAAGGACAAGUUCCCAGGGUCUGCCACCCCAGGAGCCGCGUCUGCAAAGGAGCCCGCCGGGGCGCUCCAGCCCAGCAAAAUCCAGCUUUGUGGUCUGGAAACCUCCAGAACAGGCUCUCUAAACAUAUGGUGUUAUUUUCACGGCACUUGACAUUCUUCUAGGAUAGUUCAAAUGGUACAUUCAUGUUCCCAAAAUUAUGUCACUGCUUUCUGCAUUUAAUGGCUAUAGUUAAUCAUCGCUCACAGCUCUCCCCUGUUCCUCUUCCCCUGUGAGAACACCGCGAGACGCCUCCAGCUGUGCAUACUUCACCCAGGGCUGCUUUGCACACUUUCUUUGCUCCCACUCUUGUGUCAUCCCACGGGGCUUGGGACUCAUGAAAAAACAUGCAGUGGUGGGGGCACAUGAGCCCUGCGCCUGCCAGGCAAUGCAUUCCCCCAUGCCAAUCUCCAAAGCGUGUCAGAGCUGUGCAUCUAUCAGCGUGCCUCAUCUCAUGCUGGGCUAAGGUAAGUAAAGCUUGGCAGGUUUG
rnacentral:lncRNA from 1 species